rnacentral:rRNA from 1 species
UACGGGGGGGGCAAGCGUUGUUCGGAAUUAUUGGGCGUAAAGAGCUUGUAGGCGGUCUGUCGCGUCUGCUGUGAAAAUCCGGGGCUCAACCCCGGACUUGCAGUGGGUACGGGCAGACUAGAGUGUGGUAGGGGAGACUGGAAUUCCUGGUGUAGCGGUGAAAUGCGCAGAUAUCAGGAGGAACACCGAUGGCGAAGGCAGGUCUCUGGGCCACUACUGACGCUGAGAAGCGAAAGCGUGGGGAGCGAACAGG